rnacentral:snRNA from 1 species
GUGCUCGCUUUGGCAGCACAUAUACUAAAAUCGGAACAAUACAGAGAAGAUUAGCAUGGCCCCUGCUCAAGGAUGACAUGCAAAUUCGUGAAGCAUUCCAUAUUUUU